GCAGGAAAUGGUGCAAUCGUUGAGCUACUGAUAACAGCAGCAAGAUCCUUAAUGAUCACAAAGACGAUAAUUUAUGACUGACAUACUUCUUGUGCCAAGGAAAGAGCUGAAAGGCCCUCCAGUAACCUCCAUUAGACCAGUAGAAGACUAAAGGAGCCCAGCACACUUCAGGACCAUCUGUCCAAAUGGGAAUAACUGUGCUACCGGUUCUAAGAUGGCCUUAUAUACCUAAAACUGAAGUAGACACCACUCUCUAGGAUUCCCAGAGAAUUCUUUAAACGAAAAGCUUUGAGAAUUUUGCCUACACUCCAUUGGGUAAAUCAAGGGAAGAACUCAUUGCCAUACAAGGAUGGAGACAGGAGACAAGUGGACCCAGUCUCCCCCAAAACACUCAGAUCCUCGUUGGCUUCAGAAUCGUGGGGAUUAUAGAAAGGGUUGCUUGCCUGUCUUCUUCCUGAGAAAGAAUCUAUCAGUGGGAUAAAUGGUUAAAAGUACGGCAUGAUCGAGGGGAAAGAAACAGAGCAUAGAAGGCCAAAAGGUGGAAAAUGUAAACAUUAACUGCAACAAGAGGCCAAAAUUAUUUAGCUCCAUGAAAGAAACAACUCCAGGUGUAAGCAACAUUUCAUAUGAACACAGGUGUUUCCAAGCCAUCCCAGUUCAACAGACUCAUACUGGUAGGAGACGGAAGUUAUUCAGCUGAAGAAGAAACUAUAUUCUCCUUAAAGCCUUUGAUAUGUAUAGAAAUAAA